rnacentral:misc_RNA from 1 species
GCUGAUACAAAUUCCUAGUGGUACGCAGUGGUUAUCUGGGAUAUAGUUUAUGUAUUUUUUCAUUCAUUUUUUUGUGAUAUUUAAUUUACCUUAAAAAUAAUAAAAAUCAUAGAGUUAAAUAAAAGUUAUAAAAAAUGUUGAAUUGUCAUCGAGUUUUAAGCCGAUUGUCGAAGAUAACGAGACAAGUCAAUGCUGGUUACAUUGAUCAACAGUCAGAAAAAUUCAUUGGGAGAAUCUGUACAAGAAAUGCGAGUGAUAAAAAAACUGUAAAAUCUGAUUUAAAACCAGCAUCAGGAACAACACUCAAAGCUGAAGAUUGUAUACCUCCAAAAUAUGAAAAAAUUUCAUCAAUUGAAGAACCAAGUUCAACAACAGCAUGUGAUAUUCCAACAGCACAAUAUAAUUCUUGUCCACCAGAUUGUGAAAUAAAUUGUGGUAAAAUUCCACCAAAUGGACCAAAAGAUGAUACAAUAUUUGAAAAUUAUUGGAAACAUAUACUAGCAGCACUUGCUUUAACUGGUGUUGGUUUUUAUGCAUUAACACGUGAUGAUAAAAAUAAAAAAACUACUGAAUCAUCUGAUAAAUCAGUUAAACAAAAAAGUAUAAUAAAAAAUGAAUCAUAUAAAAAAAAACAAGGUGAAAAAAUACGUUAUCCAAUAACUUCAUUAUCAAUACCACCAGAAAUACCAUAUUUAUUAAUUGGUGGUGGUACUGCUGCAUUUUCAGCAUUUAGAUCAAUUAAAUCACAUGAUCCAAAAGCAAAAGUUCUUGUUAUAACCGAUGAAUCAGAUAAUCCAUAUAUGAGACCACCAUUAUCAAAAGAAUUAUGGUACAAUAAAGAUAUGAAAUUAGCAACUGAAUUAAAUUUUAAACAAUGGAAUGGUACACAAAGAAGUCUUUAUUAUGAACCACCAGAAUUUUAUACAAAAGUUGAAAGUUUAAUGAGUUCAGAUAAAGGUGGUGUUGCUGUUGCUACUGGAUGGAAAAUUGAACGUAUUGAUCCAUUAAAAAAAAUAGCAAUACUGGAUGAUGGUUAUGAAAUAAAAUAUGAUAAAUGUCUUAUUGCAACUGGUGCAUCACCUAAAAAUCUUGCAAUAUUUGAAACAGCUGAUGAUGAGAUCAAAUCAAAAGUCAUAGCAUUUAGAACAAAAGAUAAUUUUUUGGAUCUUGAAAAUAGAUUAAAUGAUCCAAAUAUUAAUAAUAUUGUUAUUAUUGGUGGUGGUUUUUUAGGUUCUGAAUUAGCAUGUUCAAUCGCCAGAAAUUUUGAAAAUACUAAAAAAAAAAUAUAUCAAAUUUAUAAAGAAAAAUAUAUUAUGUCACAAAUAUUACCAGAAUAUUUAAGUAAAUGGGCAACUGAAAAAACAACAAUGGAAGGUGUAACAUGUAUUGCUAAUUCUGAAAUUAAAGAUAUUGAAAUAAAUAGUGGUAACAUGAAUUUAAUACUAAAUGAUGGUAAAAAAAUUAAUGCUGAUCAAGUUAUUAUUGCUGUUGGUGUUGAUGCUAAUACUGAACUUGCUAAAACUUCAAAUCUUGAAGUUGAUAAAAAUAUUGGUGGAUUUUUAGUUAAUGCUGAACUUGAAGCAAGAUCUAAUCUUUGGGUUGCUGGUGAUGCUGCAUGUUUUUAUGAUGUUAAACUUGGUAGAAGAAGAGUUGAGCAUCAUGAUCAUGCUGUUAUUUCUGGUAGACUUGCUGGUGAAAAUAUGACUGGUGCAGGCAAGCCUUAUCUUCAUCAAUCUAUGUUUUGGUCUGAUUUGGGACCAGAAGUCGGUUAUGAAGCAAUUGGAAUUGUUGAUUCUUUACUUCCAACUGUUGGAGUAUUUGCUAAACUUGAUGAUAAAAAUAAUAAAUCAUCAGAAACAAAAAAUAAACAUUUAAAUAAUGAUAAUGAAUUGAGUAAUAAAAAUACCAAAAAAAGUGAUAAAUCCGAAUUAUUAUCUCAUACAAUUGAUAAUAAUAAUUCAGACAAUAAUAAUGGCCAAAAAAAAAAUCGUGAUUGUUCAGAUAAUAUUACAAAACCAAUUCAAAAUAAAGAUGAUUAUGAAAAAGGGGUUAUUUUUUAUCUCAGAGAUGACAUUGUUGUUGGAAUUGUCUUGUGGAAUAUUUUCAAUCGAAUGUCUAUUGCUCGACAGGUUCUUGCUAGAGGCACAAAAUAUGAUGAAAUCAACGAAGUAGCAAAACUUUUUACCAUUCACGAAGAUUGAUUGAUUUUUGUUCUUUUUGUUUAGAACUUGAAAGGUCAAUAUAUUGCAAACGUAAAAAACAUGUAAAUAAUAUUUCCAUGAAACAAAAGUUAUCUGUAGGAAUGCAACAAUGAUAAUUCUACUUUUGAUUUUUUUCAAACCGUUGAGAGCACAUUCCAAAAGUUUCUAAAAUUAUUAAAACAGUGGGUUUUCUACUCACUGUAGAUAUUUUUCAAAAAUUUAUUUUACAAUUUUAGAAACUUUUCGAUUUGUUUUUGUCAGUUUGGAAAAAAAAAGAUUUUUACAAAUUACGCAGUGUAAAAGGAUGAUUAAAAAUUUUAAAAAUUUAUUUU